GCAGAAAAAGCAGAAGAAGCUGAAGAAGCUGAAGAAGCUUUACGGUCUGAAAUGGACUUCACUUGACAAUAUCCACAACUUGGAAUAUUUCUUUUUAAUGGAAAACCAGUUUGAUUAAUUUGAUCGGUGGACCCUUCAGGAUUAAAGGAAUAAAAACAAUGGACAAAACAAUGGUGGAAAAGACAGACGAUCGGACUUCAAGAUUGUCUCAAAGUGUAGAUGCAAUAUGAUGAUGUGUCAUUCCUAUGUCCCGGACCCUGCGGACAAGUCCAAGUCUGAAUUUCUCUCCCAGUCUGACCAUGGAACCAAUGCUAAUCUGGUAUUACCAAGAUGGAGAACCCUAGGAACUGCUAGGAUAGGAAGCUGCCAAGGAUAAGGCUUUUCUCCUGAAUGUACCAGUGCUCAUGCAGCUGCACUUCCUCUCGCAGAACAGGAUGCAUCUACAGAUGUUCAGUGCGACAGAGACGGUUACGGGAGAGCUCCAGCCGCUGCUGGAUUUAUUUUAAAUUGAACUUUUGCGUUAACAGAUUCAACAUUUAUGAGUGUUCCUUGUUUUCCCGAGCAUAUGGUGCUCCGCUAGGCCUCCUCAUCCCAUAUGCUGUAGCGCCCAGGAGAACAUGCAGUUAAGCAGAUAAAAUCGCUGGGCUCGGGUAGGUGAUGGAAUAUCCCUCCAUCACACGUACAGCGAGCACGAGUGUGCACGCGCUGUUGAUUAUUACACAUCAAAGUUACAGUAAAAGCAGAGCAUCGUUUAGCUUCUGUGAUGAGAAACAGGAAAUGCAGGCAGGGUUUUAUUAUGACAGUGACUGAAAUAAAAUCCCUCAGAUG